rnacentral:rRNA from 1 species
AGUGAACGCUAGCGGUAGGCCUAACACAUGCAAGUCGAACGGCAGCACAGUAAGAGCUUGCUCUUACGGGUGGCGAGUGGCGGACGGGUGAGGAAUACAUCGGAAUCUACUUUUUCGUGGGGGAUAACGUAGGGAAACUUACGCUAAUACCGCAUACGACCUACGGGUGAAAGCAGUGGAUCUUCGGACCUUGCGCGAUUGAAUUAGCCGAUGUCGGAUUAGCUAGUUGGCGGGGUAAAGGCCCACCAAGGCGACGAUCCGUAGCUGGUCUGAGAGGAUGAUCAGCCACACUGGAACUGAGACACGGUCCAGACUCCUACGGGAGGCAGCAGUGGGGAAUAUUGGACAAUGGGCGCAAGCCUGAUCCAGCCAUACCGCGUGGGUGAAGAAGGCCUUCGGGUUGUAAAGCCCUUUUGUUGGGAAAGAAAAGCAGCAGGUUAAUACCCCGCUGUUCUGACGGUACCCAAAGAAUAAGCACCGGCUAACUUCGUG